UGCACACCUGGAAACUUUAAGAGAAUUUACGACACUGGGCCGAUGUAAAUUAUACUCUACAGAACACAAGAACUUGGGGGCAAGAUCUCAGAUAGUGAAGUAAUCUCCAAGAAAACACGGGAGCUGCCAGACACUGCGUGCCUAACAGGAUGGCUGCUAAGAUCCUCCUGAAGUGACUUCAUCACAGACACUUGUUGUUGACCAGCUAUUAGAGGACCAAAUUACUGUUACAGUCCAUUAUUGAGAGAAGCCUCGGGGCUGACACUGAAGCCAAGCACUGAAAGGAACGUGACUUCCUGGCUUGCUCAGCCGCCAGUCUUAGACAGCUCAGACCCAGCUGUCCAGCGAGGUACCACCCGUACAAUUAGCAACCAAGAAAACGCCCACAGGCCAAUAUGAUGGGGUCAAACCCUCAGAGGAGCGUCCCUCAUCCAGUUGAAGAAAAGCAGGCACCUCACCCACCAUGAUGGACUGACUGUACCAUUGAACUGGGA